rnacentral:misc_RNA from 1 species
CAUUGGCACGGUAGGCAGAAGAAAGGAAGGUGAAGGCACUGCUUCUUCUUAUCCCCAGCUACUCGCAGAGUGUCCUGAGCCUUUCAACGGCGCGGCUGCACGUGCGCGUACGUUUGCCUCCCACCUCCACCUUCGGCCCUCUAUCCUUCCCACCCCUACUCCUCCCGAUAUACGUAGUGCCGCCUUCCGACCCGAAAAGAGGGCCGCAGACGCCUUCACGCUUUUUCUGUUUUGUGUGCUCUACGGGCGUUUUUGUCUACGUGCGUUAGCCGUCACUGGAGCGAGGCGGCCGCGUGGCUUUUCGCGGUGAACGUCCGUCUUUCUAUAGUGUUUUACUUUUUGUUAGGUUUCUCCUUUAGAAGGUGCCGUCGGAGCCGCCUCCCCGCUCCUCCCAGCACCACCACCGUCCUCCUCUGUCCCUGACCUCAGCGCCUUUCUACACCGUCUCUGUUAGGAUCGACGUCGCUGCUGUCUGCCGUCUUUUUCGUUGCUGUCUUUCUGUAGUUCUAUCUCCUAGGUCUUGCCCUCUUGUUAGCCCGUUAUUCGGAUUGUUGUCGCUUGCCUGUCUCCCUCCGCUCUCCAUCUCGGCGGCCCUCUUGACCGCAGCUGCACACGGUCCAACGUAGCCACCCGACCGCGUAUCUUAGUUUUCCAUUGGCGUACUUCUCCCCGUAGCACGCCGUACCUUGCCUGCUCUGCCCCUUUUUUGUUUUCAACUUGUUUUCUUUUUUUUUUCUGCUGGUGUGGCACCUAUCCGGCUUCUCGCGCUUUGCUGUCGUCUCGCGUGCAUAGGGCCGCGUGACUUCUCUGCGAUCGGCGCAUAGUGCGUGGAUAUGUGCCCUUCCGCUGCGUACGCCCUCUGCUGUGUCUAGUAGCUCCAAUGCUCCGCUGUGCAUCGACGUCGCGUCCGACUCUAGCGGCGCUCCCGCGCUCCGCCGGCUCCGCAGCCGCUAGCAGCGCUGCCUAUGCGGUGGCUCGACGCGGGUACCACGGCUUUCAAUUCGCCAGUUUUCAUGGCUGGACGCUGCCGUACGGGGGCAAGUCGACCCGUGUCACGAAGGAAGAGUUGGAGAGCCAGCGCUUCUUCACGCAACGACCGCGCGAGAAGUGGGACUACCACCGCGUCGACGAGAACAUCAACUCCCAGUCCGAGUUCCGCAGUCGGGAAGGGCGUGAGCAGUUCUACCAAGGCUCGCGCGAGGACAACUCGACGAUGAGCCACGGGAGUCUGCACACGCCGCACAAAUACCGACUGUACGAGUACUUUGACGAGUACACAAAGCCUGGCGUGGACAGAAAGGUAGCCGCUGCGUACGCGGUCAAGGAACAAUGGGAUGCGGAGGAGUUCUACUACCCCGGCGAGGCGUGGCAGCGCAACCGUCCUGGCUUUCGUAGUGUGCCCAAGGAAUUGCUGAACCGGCAGACCUGGUACCACUGGUCGCACACGCUGACCAAGUGGGACGAGAUUCAGCCUACCAUCCGUACCCGCUCCUGGAACCCAGACUGGCCGCCGCCGGGGUAUGAGGUGCCGAAGUUGCAGUGCAAGAAGGAGUUCUACUUUGGCAUCGAAGAGGAGGGUCUUGUGUCUGAGGUGGAGCGGUACAGCUGGUUCCGCUCGUGGAGCGACAACAACAUGCGUGUUGGGUGGCGCGAGAUUCCGUUGUUCAUGAUGCUUUUCGGCACACUCUACCUCUUUGCCCGCAACGCCAUGUCGGUGACAGCGAUGCGGGCGAUGAGUAGCAACAUGUACUACCCUGGGCGCAGCUUGAUCCGCCCGUUCGGCGUGCCAAAGGACUGGGAGACGGAGUGCUUCUGGUGGCAGAGACCGCUCGAGGAGUUCCCGAACCAGGACCAGGUGUGGUACUGGACCCAGGCGCGCUUUGGCUACAUGAACCACAUCAAGCAACGCGACGCUCGCGAGAAGGCCAUGGCCGACGCGGAGGCGGCAGCUACCGAGUAGUUGUGGCUCGACCGAGGGUCCCACAGCUGCAGGCGCUCUUUCAGUGAGCCCUUAUGAGUGCUAGUGUGUGGUGGGGUGCGCAUCAUGGUCUGCGAGAAGUAGGCACCAGCGCCCAGGCUACUGGGUAGGUGUGUUGUGGGAUGAAAGGGGUGUGUUCGCGAGUCUCUUCUACACUUGGAUGCUUACGUGUGUGCGUGUGUGUGGGUGAUGGGGUACUUGGGUGACCGCCGGCUGCACAGACGUGGCUCUUUCCUGCCCUGUUGUCCACCGUUGGCGACGCACCAUGCCCUUCCUUCUCGCCUUUUUUUUUCUAGCGUGUUCUUCUGAUGGAUGACUGAGCGCUCGCUCUCUUUCGCUUCAUCUCUCUCCGUACCAUCAUCUCUUUCGGCGCAUUUUUUUUUCGCGCGCGUGUGUGUGUCUGCGUGUGCGUGCGUCUUGGUCUUUAGUUUGCGACGUGCAGCGCGCGCGUGAUCGGCAAGGAAACGGAACCGCCAAUGGACCAGCGUUCAAGCUUUGCCAUUCUUUCAUCCGCGACAUGCGGUCCUGCGUCGAUUGGGCUGUACGAGCGUUGUCCGACCUGGUUUUCCUUAUGCGCUGGCUUUCUAUUUCUGGCAUGACAGCCAAAUACUC